ACACCCACAGUAUGGCCGUAUAGCAUAACAUUGUAAGAGAUUGUAAGAACCUCUUUACAUUGUUGUGCUGUACGGAUAUGCUGAAUAGU
rnacentral:pre_miRNA from 1 species